AAUGGGGGAAACCCUGAUGCAGCCAUGCCGCGUGUGUGAAGAAGGCCUUCGGGUUGUAAAGCACUUUCAGUUGUGAGGAAAGGUUAACGGUUAAUACCCGUUAGCUGUGACGUUAGCAACAGAAGAAGGACCGGCUAACUCCGUGCCAGCAGCCGCGGUAAUACGGAGGGUCCGAGCGUUAAUCGGAAUUACUGGGCGUAAAGCGCACGCAGGCGGUUUGUUAAGCUAGAUGUGAAAGCCCUGGGCUCAACCUGGGAAUUGCAUUUAGAACUGGCAGGCUAGAGUUUUGGAGAGGGGAGUGGAAUUCCAGGUGUAGCGGUGAAAUGCGUGGAUAUCUGGAGGAACAUCAGUGGCGAAGGCAGAUCACUAACGAUACAUUGACACUGAUGGACGAAAGCGUGGGGAGCGAACGGGAUU
rnacentral:rRNA from 1 species